rnacentral:rRNA from 1 species
UACGAAGGGGGCUAGCGUUGUUCGGAAUUACUGGGCGUAAAGGGCGUGUAGGCGGUCCGCUAAGUCAGGUGUGAAAGGCCUGGGCUCAACCCAGGAAAUGCGCCUGAGACUGACGGACUUGAGUCCGGGAGAGGAUGGUGGAACUCCCAGUGUAGAGGUGAAAUUCGUAGAUAUUGGGAAGAACACCCGUGGCGAAGGCGUCCAUCUGGACCGUUACUGACUCUAAUGCGCGACAUCGUGCAUAGCAAACAGG